rfam:Oryctolagus cuniculus chromosome 17, whole genome shotgun sequence.
AAAAAGGAUUUUUUAAAAUCUACCCCCACCCCCAGCAGAAGGAAUU